CAGUGGGUGUGUUAGUUGGGACGACAGUGGGUGUGUUAGUUGGGAGGACAGUGGGUGUGUUAGUUGGGAGGACAUUGGGUGUGUUAGUUGGGAGGACAGUGGGUGUGUGUAGGGUGGGUGUGUUAGUUGGGAGGACAGUGGGUGUGUUAGUUGGGAGGACAGUGGGUGUGUUAGUUGGGAGGACAGUGGGUGUGUUAGUUGGGACGACAGUGGGUGUGUUAGUUGGGACGACAGUGGGUGUGUUAGUUGGGAUGACAGUGGGUU
ensembl:lncRNA